rnacentral:rRNA from 1 species
GAUGAACGCUGGCGGCGUGCUUAACACAUGCAAGUCGAACGGAAAGGCCCAAGCUUGCUUGGGUACUCGAGUGGCGAACGGGUGGGUAACACGUGGGUGAUCUGCCCUGCACUUCGGGAUAAGCCUGGGAAACUGGGUCUAAUACCGGAUAGGACGAUGGUUUGGAUGCCAUUGUGGAAAGUUUUUUCGGUGUGGGAUGAGCUCGCGGCCUAUCAGCUUGUUGGUGGGGUAAUGGCCUACCAAGGCGUCGACGGGUAGCCGGCCUGAGAGGGUGUACGGCCAAAUUGGAACGGAGAUAAGGCCCAGACUACUACGGGAGGCAGCAGGGGGGAAGAUUGCACAAUGGAAGCAAGCCUGAGGCAGCGACGCCGCGUGGGGGAUGACGGCCUUCGGGUUGUAAACUCCUUUCGCUAGGGACGAGGCGAUUUUGUGACGGUACCUGGAGAAGAAGCACCGGCUAACUACGUG